GACGAACGCUGGCGGUGUGCUUAACACAUGCAAGUCGAACGGUAAGGCCCUUUCGGGGGUACACGAGUGGCGAACGGGUGAGUAACACGUGAGUAACCUGCCCUCAUCUCUGGGAUAACAGUCGGAAACGGUUGCUAAUACUGGAUAUGAGCUUGCAAGGCAUCUUGUGGGUUGGAAAGAUUUUUUUUGGUUGGGGAUGGACUCGCGGCCUUUCAGCUUGUUGGUGAGGGAGUGGUUCACCAAGGCUUCGACGGGUAGCCGGCCUGAGAGGGCGACCGGCCACAUUGGGGCUGAGAUACGGCCCAAACUCCUACGGGAGGCAGCAGUGGGGAAUAUUGCACAAUGGACGGAAGUCUGAUGCAGCAACGCCGCGUGCGGGAUGACGGCCUUCGGGUUGUAAACCGCUUUCAAUUGUGACGAAGCUUUUUUGUGACGGUAGCAGUAGAAGAAGCACCGGCUAACUACGUG
rnacentral:rRNA from 1 species